CCGUAGAGGAUGUCAGUCACAUUUUAAAUAUACAGUGGUACCUCUGGUUACGUAUUUAAUUCGUUCUGGAGGUCUGUUCUUAACCUGAAACUAUUCUCAACCUGAAGCAACACUUUAGCUAAUGGGGCCUCCCGCUGCCGCCGCCACAUGAUUUCUUUUCUCAUCCUGAAGCAAAGUUCUUAACCCGAGGUACUGUUUCUGGGUUAGCGGAGUCUGUAACCUGAGGCAUAUGUAACCCGAGGUACCACUGUAUAGGCGGCUUUGUGUAUGCAAGGGAAUCCAUUCAAGUUUGGGUGGAAAGAAUUUGCUCACCACAUUCUGGAGUGGGGGGUAUUUAUGGAAAUAGUUUACAUUGUAGAGAUGCCUGUAAUUUAAAUAACCUGUAUCAGAUGGAUAGGUACAUAGGUUAGGGAAAUAAAUUUAAUGAAAAACUAUUUUCUGUCAAUUUGACAGCAAAGUGAGCUGUCUGUCAGUCAGAAAAACUAGACUCCUGCCUGACUUUCUUAUAUGAAGUGGCCAGGGGAGAAAUGUAUAGAUUUUCCAAGGCACAGUGUGUGUCUCCAACACAAUCAUAAAGCUUCAGGAAGAAUAAGAUCACUUCAGUAUGGUGUGCUUCUGAGAGCAUCUAGUCAGACAAGCCCCUUCUCUUUUCCUAGCAGCUCACUUAUGAGAUUUAUCAGAACCAGAUUUAUCAAACCUAAUUAAAAUAGCAGGUUUCAUCUUGAGCUUUCAUUACCUUACACUAGCAGUUCUCAGCAUGCAAUACUGUUGGGAGGGCGAUAAGGUGAUUGCUGGUAAUUAUUUUUACAUAUUUAAACAUUAAUGCAAUAAACAUUUUCUUAUUUCUAAGAUCACUACAAAGUAUGGAGUUUGGCCGGAGGAAAAAUUGCUUGUAGGUUAAUUCUAUCUAUGCAUGCCUGUUCAGAAAUAAGAUUCAUCUAUUGUGUUCAACAGAUAAAAGUGUCUAAGAGAACAAUCUUAGUUUUGCAGGCCAGAAUACAAAUUGAUUCAUUAUAUGCCAGCAACACUACCUAAUUUGGUUCUGGUGUUACUUUAAUCAACUCUUCUCUAGGAACCACCAGGAAAAGAAAAAUCAAGUAAGGAGGUUCUGAAAUCUACUUCAAUAUCCCUUUACAAACCGAAGUGGACAUGGGAAAGGUUUUUUCUAGGAAGGGGGUCCAAAUAUAAAUGCAACUUAAGAUUUCCAACCAUGAUUCAC
rnacentral:lncRNA from 1 species